CACAAUGGGCGAAAGCCUGAUGCAGCAACGCCGCGUGUGCGAAGAAGGCCUUCGGGUCGUAAAGCACUUUUCUGGGAGAUGAGAAAGGACAGUAUCCCAGGAAUAAGUCUCGGCUAACUACGUGCCAGCAGCCGCGGUAAAACGUAGGAGGCGAGCGUUAUCCGGAUUCACUGGGCGUAAAGCGCGUGCAGGCGGUUUGGUAAGUUGGGCGUGAAAGCUCCCGGCUCAACUGGGAGAGGUCGUCCAAAACUACCAGACUAGAGAGCGAUAGAGGAAAAUGGAAUUCCCGGUGUAGUGGUGAAAUGCGUAGAUAUCGGGAGGAACACCAGUGGCGAAGGCGAUUUUCUGGAUCGUUUCUGACGCUCAGACGCGAAAGCUAGGGUAGCAAACGGGAUUAGAGACCCCGGUAGUCCUAGCUGUAAACGAUGUGAACUUGGCGUUGGUGGCUUAAACACCAUCAGUGCCGAAGCUAACGCGAUAAGUUCACCGCCUGGGGACUACGGCCGCAAGGUUA
rnacentral:rRNA from 1 species